rnacentral:rRNA from 1 species
ACGGGGAGGGCAAGCGUUGUUCGGAAUUACUGGGCGUAAAGCGUGCGCAGGCGGUUUUGUAAGCCAGAUGUGAAAUCCCCGGGCUUAACCUGGGAAUGGCAUUUGGGACUGCAAGGCUUGAGUUUGGCAGAGGGGACUGGAAUUCCUGGUGUAGCAGUGAAAUGCGUAGAGAUCAGGAGGAAUACCGAUGGCGAAGGCAGGUCCCUGGGCUGAAACUGACGCUCAUGCACGAAAGCGUGGGGAGCAAACAGGA